UAAUCUUGUUUCGAUCAUACACUAGUACAGAUCUUGGUGGUAGUAGCAAAUAAUCAAGUGAGAACCUUGAUCGCCGAUGUGAGGAAGGGUUUCCUGGCAAUUGUAUUAAUCCAGGAGUAAGUCGAUCUUAAAACUAGUCCUAAAUGGUCAAUAAGGAAAUAUGUAUCUAAUUAUAUAUUCCUGAUAGUUAAAAAGGAAACAGGUUAAAAUUCCUGUACAUGAUGAGGAAUAUAAUUAAAUUGAGAGAGUAAAAUCUUUUGAAAUAGUUGUAUUUCGUCUGGAUAUGAAGAGGUAACUCAAAUAAACAUCAUAACGAUAAAAGCAAUCCAAUACAGAGUUAUCUUUUCUGUAUAAAAGCUAUUUUUUUUAGUUUGUAUUUAUAGUAAUAUAAAUAUAAAUUAAAAUCUUGAAAAAGUAUUGAGCUUGAUUUGUUCAGAGAAAUACUUUUUAUUUUGCUUUAAUA
rnacentral:rRNA from 1 species